rnacentral:rRNA from 1 species
AACGAACGCUGGCGGCAGGCUUAACACAUGCAAGUCGAACGCAUCGCAAGAUGAGUGGCAGACGGGUGAGUAACGCGUGGGAACAUACCCUUUUCUACGGAAUAGCUCUGGGAAACUGGAAUUAAUACCGUAUACGCCCUACGGGGGAAAGAUUUAUCGGGGAAGGAUUGGCCCGCGUUGGAUUAGCUAGUUGGUGGGGUAAAGGCCUACCAAGGCGACGAUCCAUAGCUGGUCUGAGAGGAUGAUCAGCCACAUUGGGACUGAGACACGGCCCAAAUUCCUACGGGGGGCAGCAGUGGGGAAUAUUGGACAAUGGGCGCAAGCCUGGUCCAGCCAUGCCGCGUGAGUGAUGAAGGCCUUAGGGUUGUAAGGCUCUUUCACCGAUGAAGAUAAUGACGGUAGUCGGAGAAGAAGCCCCGGCUAACUUCGUGCCAGCAGCCGCCGCCG